rnacentral:tRNA from 2 species
CGGAGCGUGGCGCAGUUUGGUAGCGCACUUGACUGGGGGUCAAGAGGUCGCCGGUUCAAAUCCGGCCGCUCCGACCA